rnacentral:tRNA from 1 species
GUGGGUAGAGCUCAGUGGUAGAGCGCAUGCUUAGCACGCAACUGGUCCUGGGUUCAAUCCCCAGUGCCUCCG